rnacentral:misc_RNA from 1 species
GAUGAAGAACGUAGCGAAACGCGAUAAGUAAUGUGAAUUGCAGAAUCCAGUGAAUCAUCGAAUCUUUGAACGCACAUUGCGCCCGCCAGCAUUCUGGCGGGUAUGCCUGUUCGAGCGUCAUUUCAACCCUCGACCUCCCCUUGGGGAGGUCGGCGUUGGGGACCGGCAGCACACCGCCGGCCCUGAAAUGGAGUGGCGGCCCGUCCGCGGCGACCUCUGCGCAGUAAUACAGCUCGCACCGGGACCCCGACGCGGCCACGCCGUAAAACACCCAACUUCUGAACGUUGACCUCGAAUCAGGUAGGACUACCCGCUGAACUUAAGCAUAUCAAUAAGCGGAGGA